rnacentral:lncRNA from 1 species
CAUAUGGCUCAUUCAUUAGUUUCUUGAAUCUUGGGGAUCACUGUCCUUCCUUGUCUGAUGUCUACUGUCUUGAUUUUUUUUUUUUUUUUUUGGCAGAGUCUCACUCUGUCACCCAGGCUGGACCUUUGCGGGUCCCCGAGCCCCAUUCCUGAAGUGAGUGCUGCCGGUCAGCUGUGGGAUCAGGGAAGACUUCGUGGGGCACUGGGGUCCGUCUGCUGGGGCCUGGGUCUCUCCCUGAGAAGGCAGGGAAGCCACCGUGAGCACCCCAGUGACUCUGCCAGGCGCUGCCCUGAGCCCCGUGCAAGCCCUGCCCUGUGAGGCACACGGCACCUGCCUCAUUUUCACGGGGGGCAGAUGGGACGGCUUGCUCCAGCUGGUGUCUCAGAGAAAGGCCUCCUCCCCAGGGCCUCCUGCACCCAGUCUGCACUCUUCACCACUCACCUGGCUGCCCUGCCCUAGUGCGUUCCUGGGAUGAGACCCAGAGGACCCCUGGGCAGGGUGGGGGAGCCCUGGCCUUGCUGUGUGCCUCUGGUGCCAUUAGCUGGCCCUGUGCCCUUGAACUGUCUGAAUACCUGCUAUCUCUUGUCAUCUCAGGUGGGGGUCUGGCUUUUGAACAAGUCUUGGCUUCUUUCUAGGAAGUCGUGCUGGGAGUCAUUUAUCAACAGUUCCUGACUCUUGCUCUGUCCUGGCACUGCCCUCACAGAGCUGCCCGUUGCUGGGACGGACUAGAUAAAUGAAUGAAACCACCGACUACACGAGAAAUUUCAAUUGCGACGGAGGCCUCAAAAUAGCAGUGCGGCAGGGCAGGAGCACACAAAGGGAGCCAGUGCCUGUGAGCAGGGUGGUCUGCUGGUCGGUAAGGGGUUCAGCAGUGUUGCUGGCACCAGCCGGCAAGAUUUCUUUGGAAAUGAACAGGUAUCUUGGAGAAGAAUCAGGAGAUCCAAUGGUAGCCAGCCAGGGCCUGGCAGGAGCGGGAGGGAGACACUGCCCGGGCCCCAGUGCUGGCUCCGCCCCUCAUUCUCUUGUGAGACUUGGGCAAACCGCUUCCUGGCUCAGCCUCAUUUUCUCAUCUGAAAGCUGUGGGUUGUAGUACGUGGCUCACAGGGUGAAAUGUGAAAAUGUCAGUGAAGGGCUUAGCAUAGUCAGUGCUGGCAUGCUGUAGCCAUCCAGUGAGUUGUUACUAUUACAAAGCAAUUUUUAAAAAGGAAUGUGUGUUAGAAACACAACCAGCAGGAAGUGAGCUGUGCUUCCGUAUAGCAACAUCAACGAGGCAGCGGUUCCCAGCCUGAGUGCCAAGGACCCCAACUCCAAGGAGAAAGGUUCCGAGCAAACGUAUUUGGGAAAUGGCGGACUGUUUCCUCUUGUUGAUUUACAAAACAUAUUUGCAUAUUAAAGGCUCAAAAAGGUCUUUUUUAUAAUAAAAAGAUGUUAAAUUUUGUUCCAUCCACUCUUCCUAAACUUAUAUGGCCAUAGAGCC